rfam:Gossypium raimondii Chr10_contig_1027, whole genome shotgun sequence.
AUCUCAUGAUGAGGACACCUACGAAGUAACUCCUUGAAUAUUUUCCAUGCCUCGUACAAGGAUUCGUCAUCCAAUUACUAAAAAGUUGUUAUCUCAUUACGCAACUU